rnacentral:lncRNA from 1 species
GGGUUGGAGCAUCCGAGCUCCAGCUGCAGUUCCUCUCGCUGUCCUGCAAAAUACCUACCUGGGCAGCUUCCAUUCUUUGUUUAAGCUGGAUGCAAGCGCUGGGCAGAGACCUUUGACAGAUUAGUUUCUUUGCAAAAGAGGGACUCCUACUGUGUCCUCAGGCCAAACACGAGGUUCUGUUUGGGUCUUUUUGCUACCACUUGUGCUUUGUGCCUCUACUGUGUAUCCUUGUCCUCCUGGGUAUAUUUGGCCCCAAACACUUACUGUCUGGGAGUAAAACGCUGCUUUAUUAGAAUACAUAUGGCAUGGUGCGGUUAACUGUAAUUUCAGGUUCUUUCAUCAUUCCCCAAAGCACUAGUACAUUUAAUUGCCCCGGAAUACAUAAUUUAAUAUUUUUUAAACAUGAAACGAUUGUUGUCAUGCUUUAAAGUUGUAGUUGUCUUUCUGAAUGUCAAUUUUCUCUCCAUUGUGUGAUACAUUGAGCUUGAAAGGGAGGAAAGGGAUUAAGUUAGAAGGGUUUGCAAACACAUUCUAGAAUUUAAAAUAAAUAAAACUGUGAUGUGAUCUGGUUUUGUUUUCAAUUACUCCUUGUCCUGUAAAUUAAACCUCCAGCUAAAUCACUGAUUAAGACUUAAUCCUGUGUGUGCCAUGAAUAGUAAAAACUGAAUCUGAUAUUAUAGUCAUCCCAUACAGCUGCCUCCAGCUUCAUUGGGAUACUGCUUUAAAGGCAGCCUUCUCUUAAAUGAAUGCUCACUCUACCUUUUUAACAUGGCUUUAUAACGAGAGCAGACUUAUCCUUUUCAAAAUGGCUUCAUGCUUUUUUUUCUUUUCUUUUCUUUUUUUUGUAUUUUUGUUUUUUGGGGGCUGCACCUGGCGGCAUAUGGAGGUUCCCAGGCUAGGGGUCUAAUCGGAGCUCUGCAGUUCUGAUUGAACCCCUAGCCUGGGAAUUUCCAUAUGCCACGGGUGCAACCCUAAAAAAGCGAAAUAGGAUAAAAUAAAGGACGUGCUGGUAAUUCAACAUCAGGCAGAUUAUGGGAAGAUCUGUGAGCUGCAGGCACCAUGUUAGCAAGGUCCAUAGAAGUGUGAAAUCCAGACUUCUUUGGGGCCUGAGUGAUUUCUAGAAGAGUGAGUAUUUCUAUUGGGCCAUCAGGAAUAGAUCCUCUCUGGUUUGUGGAAGAUUGACAGAGAAAUCAUGCCAGCAACAAGGGACGAUCAAAUGGCAAGGUGUAGAAAGUCUAAAAGCAUAAUUUAAAUUCAAGAAUAGAGUGUGAGUGGAAGAGAGAAACUCAUCUAGGAAAAGUAAGAGGAUAAUACAUUUUGGUGACACAUUUUAAAGGGUCUUAAAUGUCUGGCCAAGGAGUUAUAUUUGAUUUUGAAGGCAAUUGGAGAGCAAGUAUAAGUUUUUGAGCCAAUAAAUGAUAAGAUUGAAAAAGUGCUGUGAGAUUAAUAUGACAAUAAUAUGUAGCAUAUCUAGAGAUAAUAAGAAGUUGAAUGGGCAGAGGAAUCUUCUAACAGUCUAUUUCUACACUGUAGGUUUGAGGUAAGGAGAUAUAAAUUGGGAGUGGGAGAAGUGGAGACAGAAUGCUGGAGGUGACAAGGACAUUUUUCUUAAGAGCUGGCAAACCAUCAGUACACACAAAGCUUAAUUAAGCGAUCAAAGGAACUCAUUUGCCUGUCUCAUGUAUGUCUUAAAAACUUGCCUGAAAAGCAAAAUUGUCAAAUUCUUUUUCUUUUCCCCAUAGUGUGUUUAAAAGUGGGCAAACAAAUCAACUUUCUACAUUAAAGCCAAUGCUGUUUUGGAGUUUAGCAAAACUAACCAGCAUCCUAGAGCAAAGAAUUAUUAAAGAAAUGCUAUUUUCUAAGAUUAACCAAUUACUUUAAACUUGUUAUUAGGGUAAAAUAACAUUAUUCUCUUGAGACCUACCUCCUCACUUAUAUUUUAGAGGGAAAUUUGGUGAUGACUCAGAACCCUUAUAAUAACAUGGAAAGUUACAGUGCGAAAGCAAAAUAUUUCUUCCUGAUUUUUAAUGUGUCUUCCAGAAGUUGAGACACAAGAAGUAUAAGGAGAAGCCAAGCAAAAGGCAACAGAAAGGGAGUCUUUUAGUAAAAAUCACUAAAAAACAGAUCCUCUAUAAACUCUUGGAAAUAACUUAUGGUUUUUUUAAUUGUUUCUGUUUGUUUUGUUUUGUUUUUGUCUUUUUAGGGCCACACCCAUGGCAUAUGGAGGUUCCCAGGCUAGGGGUCCAAUCAGAGCUGUAACCACUGGCCUACAGCAGAGCCGCAGCAAUGCAUGAUCCGAGCUGUGUCUGCGACCUACACCACAGCUCACAGCAAUGCUGGAUCUUUAACCUACUGAACAAGGCCAGGGAUCGAACCUGCAUCCUCUUGGAUGCUAUUCGGGUUCUUUAACCAUGGAGCUAGGCCAGGAACCCCCUGAUGGUUAUUUUUAAAAUGAUUAUCAAAGAUUUUUAUGAGUGCAUGACAACUCCUCGAACGUGGUAGUCAGUUUACAUUCCAAACCAGGAGCCAUAUCCUAAAUAUAUCUAAAUCGUAUUUUGAACUUUGACUUCCAAGUUACAUACAAAUUUUGCAUAUGCGAAUGUGCAUUUUGGGGAGAAUGUUGAAAUUUUAUCAGUUUAUCCAAGGAGUCAAGAUGCUUAGAAAGGUUAAGAGCUUCAGAGCUAGAAUGGUAAUUCUCACGAAAAUCUCUUUUUAUCUGUGCUAGUCAGCAGUGAAAGGAGCAAAAUAAAGAUGGUGUGCUGUAUUUUCUUGUAAAUAUAGAAGACUAUUUUAUCCCUGAUUUUAUUUGAAAUAGUGAUGAUAAAAAUUCUAGUGGACAGUAUUAAGUUGUCUCUAAUUCAAAAAAGGUUCUCAGAGUUUCUUUUGGUGCUCAGCAGGUUAAGAACCAACAUAGUGUCGGUGAGGCUGCGGGUGCAAUCCCUAGUCUUGCUCAGUGGGUUAGGGAUCCCUUGUUGCCACAAGCUGUGGUGUAGUUUGCAGAUGGAGCUUGCAUCCAGUGUUGCUAUGCAUAUGGUGUAGGCCUCAGCUGCAGCUCUGAUUCGACCCAAUAUGCUCAGUUGCGGCCUUAAAAAAAAGAGAGAGAGAGAGAGAUUCUCCUUGGGAUAGACCAUGAUGGAGAUAAUAUAAGAAAGGGAAUAUAUAUAUAUGCAUGUAUGUAAAAGUGGGUCACUUUGCUGUACAGCAGAAAUUGGCACAACAUUGUAAAUCAACUGUAAUUUUUUUUUUUGUCUUUUUGUCUUUUUGCCUUUUCUAGGGCCACUCCCACAGCAUAUGGAGGUUCCCAGAUUAGGGGUCCAAUCAGAGCUGUAGCCGCCAGCCUACGCCAGAGCCACAACAACCUGGGAUCUGAGCCGUGUCUGUGACCUACACCACAGCUCACGGCAGUGCAAGAUCCUUAACCCACUGAAUGAUGCCCGCAACCUCAUGGUUCCUAGUCGGAUUCAUUCACCACUGAGCCACGGCGGGAACUCCUUGUACUUUAAUUUAAAAAAAAAAAAAAGAAAAAAA